UACGAAGGGGGCUAGCGUUGCUCGGAAUUACUGGGCGUAAAGCGCACGUAGGCGGAUUUCUAAGUCAGGGGUGAAAUCCUGGAGCUCAACUCCAGAACUGCCUUUGAUACUGGGAAUCUCGAGUCCGGGAGAGGUGAGUGGAACUGCGAGUGUAGAGGUGAAAUUCGUAGAUAUUCGCAAGAACACCAGUGGCGAAGGCGGCUCACUGGCCCGGUACUGACGCUGAGGUGCGAAAGCGUGGGGAGCAAACAGG
rnacentral:rRNA from 1 species